AGCAGUAGCCACGGUAAUACGAAGGGGGCUAGCGUUGUUCGGAAUUACUGGGCGUAAAGCGCACGUAGGCGGAUAUUUAAGUCAGGGGUGAAAUCCCAGAGCUCAACUCUGGAACUGCCUUUGAUACUGGGUAUCUUGAGUAUGGAAGAGGUGAGUGGAAUUCCGAGUGUAGAGGUGAAAUUCGUAGAUAUUCGGAGGAACACCAGUGGCGAAGGCGGCUCACUGGUCCAUUACUGACGCUCAUGCACGAAAGCGUGGGGAGCAAACAGGAUUAGAUACCCGAGUAGUCCCUGUCUCUUAUAC
rnacentral:rRNA from 1 species